AACUACGGUAAUAGUAGCAAUACGUUCUCAGAUCCUGAAGAAGUUAGCUGCAAUGCUGGCAAAACAUCAGGAAGAAAUUCCAUUUGGACGUAGCUUCUAUCCGAGUAAGCCUUGCAUAGUGUUGUAUAGAACAGUGUUAGGUGAAAUCUAUUUCAGUUUAAGAAAUUAAAUAUUAUAAAAAAGUAUUUGUUAGAACAUAAUCUGUUAAAACAAUUCACCUAUGUGAAAUUGCUGUGAAAAUUAUUUCAAGCUUAAUUUUGUAACUUGAAACCAAAUGCGUUUAUCAUUCUUUUUCUUUAUUUUACAUUAUUAAAAGGAACUUUCAUUUUUCAAACAUAUCACGUCUUAUGACAUACUACGUAUUCUAUUUGUAUUAUUUAAAGGGAUUUGAAGAAUAGAAUGUCUGCACGCGUUAAUACGUCUGCAUGAUCGAUUCUGUGGUGCAUUGCCAUAUUGAUUAUAUAUUUAAUGAAAUAAUCAAAUAUUAUUUAUUGCUAUAACUCUAAUAUCGAUAUAGCUAAAUAUCAACAUUAACGUAAUUUAUACAAUAAGAAUUAAGAAAAGAAAUAAGCGAAUUUCUCGUCAAAAAAACAUCAGCUACCUAUGUACAUCUUUACCUUUUUGUUUUUUUUACAUAAUAUUAUUUUCAGAUUGCAACUUUACUCGUAUUAUUUUAUUCGUAUGAGUAAUUAAUAUGACGUAUCCAGUGUAGCAAAAGAUAUUUUACUUUUAUUUGAAAUAUUUAUUAAACAUUCUACAUAUUUUCAGAGUUACGGUAACACGAUUUUCGUAGUAAGUACAAUCGAAUAGAUUAUUCUAGUAAUAUAGUAUUCAGUUUAUUAUUGCACGAGAAAUUUGUUUAUUUUCAGCCAUGUAUGUAUGUAAUAUUUUAUGACCUUUGACAAGGUAAAAAUGAUUUUGAAAGUUGCAUCGCAAUUGAAAAGUGAAAAUAUUUCAAGUCAAAACUAAAGCCAAUAUCUUAUAUAUAUGAUAUUAUUAUUUAUUCAAUUUUUAUAUGACAGAUAAAUAAACAUUAAAUGUACGCUUAUUAAAUUUAUGUGAAAUUUAGUGUACAGAAGUUUGGCAUAACUUAUUAAUGCACAUCUGUAUUUCUAGUUCUAUUAUUCCAUGUUAGGAAUUGUUUGCACAUAAUAAAGUUAUAUGAUUAGAUAUAUAUAGAAUAUAAAUAUCUAAUUGUAUAUACAUAUAAAUAAUGUAUUUAUAAUAUACCGAGAUAUUUUCGGGUUCCUUUUGUAGUCUACAAUUACUUUUGAUUAAUUUCCGCAAGUAUAAACUUAAUUUUCAAAUCACAUUAAAAACUGUACCGCAAUCUCAAAUCGUAAUAAAUAGAUAUUUUUGAAAUAUAUACAGUUAUAUGUCCGAAAAAUUUGAUAUUUAUAUAUAUUAGGACUGGAAAACAUGUGUGCAGAAAUGAGAAGUAAAUUAUUUAAGAAAUAUAAAAAGAAAUUAAAUAUCGCGAGAUAAAAAAAAUGGCGCUCAAUUCUUGUCAUAUGUUAAAUAUAGAAUAUCGUACAAAAAUAUCUUGUAAAUACCUUCCUCAAAUGGAAAGUGACGUAUUAUAGACACGUUUAAACUUAGAAAUUGUAUUUUAUGCAUAAAUAAUAGUUAUUACUUAGAAAUUAAAGAUAGAUAUUUUUUAUAUAUUUUUAUUAUAUCCAUUUCUACUUUCUAAAAAUAUUUUACCUAAUGUGAUUUACAAUUUACAUCACUAGGUACUAGUUUUUCAUAUACAAUAGGAUCAAGGAUCGUUACAAACAAUGAUCGCUAAUGUUUUGAAAAUAAUUAUAUCAAGUACAUAUUAUACACCUCUAAAAGCAAAUUGGUCUUUUUUAUGUACACGUCAGUAGAUAUUUUAUGUUUAAUACUUCUUUCGUUAGACAACAUUCAAUUUAUUGUAAGAUAAAUUAUUGUAUUACCAUGUAAAAUAUAAGUUACUCUGGUUUAUAUUUUGACAAAAAUCCUUUUUUAAUGGUACUCAAUAUUAAUUAUUAACGAUUAUUUGUUUUGGAAUCCAUUAAUCCAAAAAGAAUAAUUCUCACAUUUUCAAUAUUUUAUUAGUGAUAAAAUUAUACUAGAUUCUCAGGGAAAUCAUUAGACAUUUCUAAAAUCUUUUAUAUCAAUGUUUAAUGGCGUCUCAAAACGUGGAUUAUUGUAAAAAUUCGUUUAAAUAAUUUCACUAAUUUUUUUCAUAGUUUCUGACAAAUUAAAUACUUCUCCAAUUUGCUAUUUUAUAUGGCUGUGAUUUUAUUAAUUCCAUUAUUGACAAUAUCAUUGGCGGAUUGUACUCGUAUUACGAUACCUCAAUAUCACAUACCUACAUUUUCUUUUUUUCAGUAAUAUAAUCAUUUCUUAAAUAUAAUGAAUAUCAAAUUGCUUAAUAAAUGUCUUAAAUUAUUUUUUAUAGUUUCGGAUUCAUAUUAUUUAAAAAGACUAGAUUACCUUAGAUUUAUUUUAAAACAGUUCGAUGGAUCUAGUUACAAGAAACAAUUGUGAAAAGUGAUAAUCGUUUACGCAUUAAUAUUGAUUUUGCUAUUUUCCUAAAUCCAUUUUUAUGUUAUUGUCAUGGUACUUAUGUUUAAAUAUUUUACGUUUCAAUAUUGAAAAUAAAUAUUGUGGCCGUGAGAAAUUGGAACACAACACUUUAAAUAAAAUGGAAUUAAUUGAAAACACUAUUGCUAUUCAAAUAGUUGUCAACAUACUGAAUAUUAAAUAUUAGAUAGUAUUUUAUAAAUAUAAAAAUUACUCUUUUAUAAAUAUUUCGAUAAGUUAGUUUUACAAUAUUUCCAUCGUUGCAAUUCCUUCGUUUAAAUUGUUUUACUAUUGUGACUGCUAAACAUCCUUUCAAGAUAUAAACUGAAUCUUGCUCUGCUGUCAAGUAACGCUCCGUAAUUGAAAAAUUGUCUUUCUGUAAAUUCCUAUACACGUUUUCAACACAUGUCAAGGUAUUAAAUACUAUCUAAUACAUAAUUAAUGUUAAUUUUACGUUAAUUUUAACAGAGUGUGAGAUAUAAGAUGUUUUUAGCUUAUAAGAUUUAGUAGUAGUAGUUUGAUCAAGAUAGUAUUAUAGUAGUAUUUUGUUAGAAAUGGCAUAAUCUUAGGAAAAAUCUUAGAAGAAAAGGAACACAAAAUAUUUAAAUUUUAUAUCGUUUUAAAGUCAAGUGAUAUUCAAUUGGAAAUUGUUCUUUUAGUAACUAAUUCCUUACCUCUUUGAAAAACAAUUGAGUAUUAGUUUAUAAAUUAAAAUGUAUAGAAAUUUAUUCUUUCAUGAAUUUCCUUGUGCUAAGGAACUUUUACUCGACAUAAAGAAAUAAAUUAAGAAGCAACAAUAAAAAUAAUAUAUUAGGGACCAAAUACACUGGUGCAACUAUCUGUACGCAUGUAAAUAUUUAUUGAUCUGUCUAGUUCUAUACGUUCGACGAUGUAAGCAGUAUUUAAUAAGUGUUUUUUUCCGAAUGAAAUCUGAAGAUAGCUGUGAAAGAUUGUAUUGGCCUAUUUCGUAAAAAAAAAUUUUAAGAAUUAUAAAAUCUUUUAUAUUAUAAAUAUUAUUUAUGGAAAUUAUUAACAAACGGUAUAGCCUGACUAGUAAAACUAUUUGUGCAAAAUAACACCAUAUUAGAGAAUUCAGAGGAUAUGUUUAAUUAAGCUUUUUAGUAAAAAGUACUCAAUAAUCUUAUGUGCAAUGAUGACAUUUAUGUAAAUUACUGUGUAUUGUAGCAACGUGAUUUGAAUAAUAGUUUUAUAACAGUUUAAUUAUUACGAUUCAUUACAAAUAAAUAAAAUAAUUAAUUACGAAAACCUAUUAUCAACGAACAAAUAAGCAAUAAUUGUCCACUGUUUGUUGACUUCUCUAUAGUCAUGAAACGCGAAGAAUUUUAAUAUACAUAUAGCUAAAAUUUGCUAAACGUGAUAAUGUAAUUUCUUAAAAACCAUAUAAAUAUAUCUGUUUAUUGUAUUUAAUAUAUAUAUAUAUAUAUAUUUAUGUUAGGUGUUAAUAUAAUAUCGUAUUUUCGAUAGAUAAUAAGAAAAAAAAUUAUAAAGAAAGAUAAUUUGUAAUGCGCAUGUCUAAUACUUCGAUAAUUAGUAUCAUCGACGAUUAGUACUAGACAUACGUAAAGCAAAUAUAUUUCAAAUAUCUUUAACGUGUUAACGAAAUUUAUGAUGCUAUUUUUUUAAUAGCAAGGUAUAAGAUGAAAAUUAUUCGAUUCGCUCUACGUUAAGAUUUGCCGUAUGGAUACACAAAUUGCAAUAAACUGCAAAAAAAUGUUACA